rnacentral:rRNA from 1 species
GGGUUGUGAGGUUAAGCGACUAAGCGUACACGGUGGAUGCCCUGGCAGUCAGAGGCGAUGAAGGACGUGCUAAUCUGCGAUAAGCGCCGGUAAGGUGAUAUGAACCGUUAUAACCGGCGAUUUCCGAAUGGGGAAACCCAGUGUGACUCGUCACACUAUCAUUAACUGAAUCCAUAGGUUAAUGAGGCGAACCGGGGGAACUGAAACAUCUAAGUACCCCGAGGAAAAGAAAUCAACCGAGAUUCCCCCAGUAGCGGCGAGCGAACGGGGAGGAGCCCAGAGCCUGAAUCAGCAUGUGUGUUAGUGGAAGCGUCUGGAAAGGCGCGCGAUACAGGGUGACAGCCCCGUACACAAAAGCGCAUGUGCUGUGAGCUCGAUGAGUAGGGCGGGACACGUGGUAUCCUGUCUGAAUAUGGGGGGACCAUCCUCCAAGGCUAAAUACUCCUGACUGACCGAUAGUGAACCAGUACCGUGAGGGAAAGGCGAAAAGAACCCCGGCGAGGGGAGUGAAAAAGAACCUGAAACCGUGUACGUACAAGCAGUGGGAGCACAGGUUUACCUGUGUGACUGCGUACCUUUUGUAUAAUGGGUCAGCGACUUAUAUUCUGUAGCAAGGUUAACCGAAUAGGGGAGCCGUAGGGAAACCGAGUCUUAACCGGGCGUUAAGUUGCAGGGUAUAGACCCGAAACCCGGUGAUCUAGCCAUGGGCAGGUUGAAGGUUGGGUAACACUAACUGGAGGACCGAACCGACUAAUGUUGAAAAAUUAGCGGAUGACCUGUGGCUGGGGGUGAAAGGCCAAUCAAACCGGGAGAUAGCUGGUUCUCCCCGAAAGCU